UACGGAGGGUGCAAGCGUUAUCCGGAUUCACUGGGUUUAAAGGGUGCGUAGGCGGGCAGGUAAGUCAGUGGUGAAAUCUUCAAGCUCAACUUGGAAACUGCCAUUGAUACUAUUUGUCUUGAAUAUUGUGGAGGUAAGCGGAAUAUGUCAUGUAGCGGUGAAAUGCUUAGAUAUGACAUAGAACACCGAUUGCGUAGGCAGCUUGCUACACAAAUAUUGACGCUGAGGCACGAAAGCGUGGGGAUCAAACAGG
rnacentral:rRNA from 1 species